rnacentral:lncRNA from 10 species
CGCGCGCGCGGUUGCCAGUGUGGGCGGGCGUGUGCUUUUGUGUCUCGUGCGCUCCCGCGCAGGUGGACAACCCGCGCCGGGAGUCACUCUGCCCGUGCGCCCCAAGACCUGGAGUCCCGUUUUCCGUGUCGGAGGGCUCGGGUCGCCCUUUUGGGCGGACUACAGACUCUUCUCACAGAGGAAGCUUUGGCUCCACGGAUGGUUUAUUUGGAGCCACUAACGGGACUUCCUGAGGACCGCUCUUUUAGAGCCCGGCUCCAGGCAUCAGAGUUGGGCGCGUUUUCUUUUCUCAGUCAGGCGAGGGAGGAGACUUAGGGACAAUGAUUGUCCUCGGCUGAUAGGUACAUCCAAGUGUCCCGAGCCUGCCAGUCCCGCAUUAGACAACAAAGA